CAUGCAGUCGAACGGUGAAGCCAAGCUUGCUUGGUGGAUCAGUGGCGAACGGGUGAGUAACACGUGAGCAACCUGCCCUGGACUCUGGGAUAAGCGCUGGAAACGGCGUCUAAUACUGGAUAUGAGCUCUCAUCGCAUGGUGGGGGUUGGAAAGAUUUUUCGGUCUGGGAUGGGCUCGCGGCCUAUCAGCUUGUUGGUGAGGUAAUGGCUCACCAAGGCGUCGACGGGUAGCCGGCCUGAGAGGGUGACCGGCCACACUGGGACUGAGACACGGCCCAGACUCCUACGGGAGGCAGCAGUGGGGAAUAUUGCACAAUGGGCGGAAGCCUGAUGCAGCAACGCCGCGUGAGGGAUGACGGCCUUCGGGUUGUAAACCUCUUUUAGCAGGGAAGAAGCGAGAGUGACGGUACCUGCAGAAAAAGCGCCGGCUAACUACGUGCCAGCAGCCGCGGUAAUACGUAGGGCGCAAGCGUUAUCCGGAAUUAUUGGGCGUAAAGAGCUCGUAGGCGGUUUGUCGCGUCUGCUGUGAAAUCCCGAGGCUCAACCUCGGGCCUGCAGUGGGUACGGGCAGACUAGAGUGCGGUAGGGGAGAUUGGAAUUCCUGGUGUAGCGGUGGAAUGCGCAGAUAUCAGGAGGAACACCGAUGGCGAAGGCAGAUCUCUGGGCCGUAACUGACGCUGAGGAGCGAAAGGGUGGGGAGCAAACAGGCUUAGAUACCCUGGUAGUCCACCCCGUAAACGUUGGGAACUAGUUGUGGGGACCAUUCCACGGUUUCCGUGACGCAGCUAACGCAUUAAGUUCCCCGCCUGGGGAGUACGGCCGCAAGGCUAAAACUCAAAGGAAUUGACGGGGACCCGCACAAGCGGCGGAGCAUGCGGAUUAAUUCGAUGCAACGCGAAGAACCUUACCAAGGCUUGACAUACACCAGAACACCGUAGAAAUACGGGACUCUUUGGACACUGGUGAACAGGUGGUGCAUGGUUGUCGUCAGCUCGUGUCGUGAGAUGUUGGGUUAAGUCCCGCAACGAGCGCAACCCUCGUUCUAUGUUGCCAGCACGUAAUGGUGGGAACUCAUGGGAUACUGCCGGGGUCAACUCGGAGGAAGGUGGGGAUGACGUCAAAUCAUCAUGCCCCUUAUGUCUUGGGCUUCACGCAUGCUACAAUGGCCGGUACAAAGGGCUGCAAUACCGUGAGGUGGAGCGAAUCCCAAAAAGCCGGUCCCAGUUCGGAUUGAGGUCUGCAACUCGACCUCAUGAAGUCGGAGUCGCUAGUAAUCGCAGAUCAGCAACGCUGCGGUGAAUACGUUCCCGGGUCUUGUACACACCGCCCGUCAAGUCAUGAAAGUCGGUAACACCUGAAGCCGGUGGCCCAACCCUUGUGGAGGGAGCCGUCGAAGGUGAUCG
rnacentral:rRNA from 1 species